CCUACGGGAGGCAGCAGUGGGGAAUAUUGGGCAAUGGGCGCAAGCCUGACCCAGCAACGCCGCGUGAAGGAAGAAGGCUUUCGGGUUGUAAACUUCUUUUAUCAGGGACGAAGCAAGUGACGGUACCUGAUGAAUAAGCCACGGCUAACUACGGGCCAGCAGCCGCGUUAAUACGUAGGUGGCAAGCUUUAUCCGGAUUUACUGGGUGUAAAGGGCGGGUAGGGGGGGGGGGAAGUCAGAUGUGAAAACUAAGGGCGCAACCCAUAGACUGCAUUUGAAACGGUACUUCUUGUGUGCAGGGGAGGCAAUCGGAAUUCCGUGUGUAGCGGUGAAAUGCGUAGAUAUACGGAGGAACACCAGUGGCGAAGGCGGAUUGCUGGACAGUAACUGACGCUGAGGCGCGAAAGCGUGGGGAGCAAACAGGAUUAGAUACCCGAGUAGUC
rnacentral:rRNA from 1 species